CUUGGUCAUUUAGAGGAAGUAAAAGUCGUAACAAGGUCUCCGUAGGUGAACCUGCGGAGGGAUCAUUACAGAGACUCUGCCCUUUGGGUAGACCUCCCACCCUGUGUCGUUAUACCUUCGUUGCUUUGGCGGGCCGCGGGGCCCCGGCCCUGCCCCUGGCUCCGGCUAGGGCGCGCCCGCCAGAGGACCUCAAAACCUGAAUGUUAGUGUCGUCUGAGUACUAUAUAAUAGUUAAAACUUUCAACAACGGAUCUCUUGGUUCUGGCAUCGAUGAAGAACGCAGCGAAAUGCGAUAAGUAAUGUGAAUUGCAGAAUUCAGUGAAUCAUCGAAUCUUUGAACGCACAUUGCGCCCCUUGGUAUUCCGGGGGGCAUGCCUGUUCGAGCGUCAUUACAACCCUCAAGCUCUGCUUGGUCUUGGGCGUCACCGGUCCCCGGUGUGCCCUAAAAUCAGUGGCGGCACCAUCUGGCUCUAAGCGUAGUACAUACUCUCGCUACAGACGUCCGGUGGAUGCUGGCCAGCAACCCCCAAUUUAUCAAGGUUGACCUCGGAUCAGGUAGGGAUACCCGCUGAACUUAAGCAUAUCAAUAAGCGGAGGA
rnacentral:rRNA from 1 species